rnacentral:lncRNA from 1 species
AUGUUCCACUUUGGAGACCACUACUCUAGACAUCCCCAAACACACUUCUUCCAAGGAGCACCUGAGUUUUAUAAGCCUUCUUGGGCCUUCAGUGGGAACCAGCCCGAUCAUCAACGAGAGAAAAAGGAAACAGAGCAGAUGACUUACAGGAGGUGUAGUAUUUCUUUUCAGUUUCCAAAAGGCAACAGACUAAAAAUGUAUUUUCAGCAACAUUUUCCCCAAACAACUUAAAUGGUGAACUUCUUCCCAAUGAGAUUUUCAUUGAUGCCAUCUGGUACUUCCUCUGAUCUUGAGUCACUGAGUUUUUAGGUACGUGAACUAUUCUUUAAAUCUUCAUUUAACCUUUCAAUUCUAACACACUUUUUCAGAUUUUUUUCCCAGGUUUUGUAAUGGUUCCCCCAGGUCGAUCGUUGUUCCCAGAUUCAGGACAGUUUCCGUCUGGGCCAUUCUUACAGGAAGAAUGACAACAAACACAAAUUUUAGCUAUGCCUGAGAGAUUUUUCAAAUGCAAGAGUAUGUGGCUCCACAGCUCUUAUUUUAUCUGCAGGACACAUUGAACAUCUUUAUAUGAAAUACUAAUUUUAAUUUGACUUUAAAUAGUUUAGGAUUAUUUAGCUGUUAAUUUGUUUUUUUUAAUGUCAGGUCUCAGUGAAUCUUAACACCAACCUAGUCUGUUUAUAGCACAGGAGUAGUUUACUGGACAAACUGUGAGAUUCUAAAAUAAAAUGUAUAUUUACUCAGGAAAAAAUCCA